rnacentral:rRNA from 1 species
GAUGAACGCUGGCGGCGUGCCUAAUACAUGCAAGUCGAGCGAACAGACGAGGAGCUUGCUCCUCUGACGUUAGCGGCGGACGGGUGAGUAACACGUGGAUAACCUACCUAUAAGACUGGGAUAACUUCGGGAAACCGGAGCUAAUACCGGAUAAUAUAUUGAACCGCAUGGUUCAAUAGUGAAAGACGGUUUUGCUGUCACUUAUAGAUGGAUCCGCGCCGCAUUAGCUAGUUGGUAAGGUAACGGCUUACCAAGGCGACGAUGCGUAGCCGACCUGAGAGUGUGAUCGGCCACACUGGAACUGAGGCACGGUCCAGACUCCUACGGGAGGCAGCAGUAGGGAAUCUUCCGCAAUGGGCGAAAGCCUGACGGAGCAACGCCGCGUGAGUGAUGAAGGUCUUCGGAUCGUAAAACUCUGUUAUUAGGGAAGAACAAAUGUGUAAGUAACUAUGCACGUCUUGACGGUACCUAAUCAGAAAGCCACGGCUAACUACGUG